GCAGCCGCCGCGGGAAAACGUAGGUGGCAAGCGUUGUCCGGAAUUAUUGGGCGUAAAGGGCUCGCAGGCGGUUUCUUAAGUCUGAUGUGAAAGCCCCCGGCUCAACCGGGGAGGGUCAUUGGAAACUGGGAAACUUGAGUGCAGAAGAGGAGAGUGGAAUUCCACGUGUAGCGGUGAAAUGCGUAGAGAUGUGGAGGAACACCAGUGGCGAAGGCGACUCUCUGGUCUGUAACUGACGCUGAGGAGCGAAAGCGUGGGGAGCGAACAGGAUUAGAUACCCCUGUAGUCCCUGUCUCUUAUAA
rnacentral:rRNA from 1 species